GGAGAACUUGUCACUUCAAAGUUUGAUAGCGGAUAAACUAAUGAUUGAAGGAAUGCACGUUUGAGAAUGGUUAAGUGGAUAAAGCUAGAAAAUUUUCAGUGUCCAUCAUGUCCGAAUAAAAGGUAAAGUAAUCAAUUGGCGAUGGAAUUGUGGAAGUAGCUACCAUAACGGAGAGUUUUUACCAGCAGACCGUGAAGGUUUCACUUUUGCCCUCUCACAAGCAGUCCAAUUGAUGGGGAAAGCGGGGUCAGAAUGGGUAGCUUCUCUUAUCAUCAAUUUAGGAUUACAAUAUGGAAAAUAAAACAAAUGGCACAACUGAUUGUCAUAAGUGUGCUACGGCAAGAUAUUUGAUAGGCCUUCAUUCUGACGGAUGAUCGUGAUCUUCAAUUUUGACUAUGUUGAUAAAUAAAACACCAGUUGAUCAUGAACAGUCUGCAAGCAGUUUUAAUUUCCAUUUGAACCAGUCAUCAUACUUCAUCAACUCUGUUUUGUAUGUUUUGUUUUAAAUUCGUAUAUGUAUAAAAUACUUAUAGUUUUCAAAUUUUUACGUCACAGGAUGAAUUUUGUUUGUCACGAGAAUCUGGUAUAAAUAUAUGUAGUCGCAUGUUGUGUUAGAGACAUUUUUUGUUAGAGAUCAUUUAUAUUUGUUUCUUUCUUUUGGUGAAUAAAGUUUAGUUAUAUUCUUGUU